CUACGGGGGGCAGCAGUGGGGAAUAUUGCACAAUGGGCGCAAGCCUGAUGCAGCCAUGCCGCGUGUAUGAAGAAGGCCUUCGGGUUGUAAAGUACUUUCAGCGGGGAGGAAGGGAGUAAAGUUAAUACCUGUGCUCAUUGACGUUACCCGCAGAAGAAGCACCGGCUAACUCCGUGCCAGCAGCCGCGGUAAUACGGAGGGUGCAAGCGUUAAUCGGAAUUACUGGGCGUAAAGCGCCCGCAGGCGGUUUGUUAAGUCAGAUGUGAAAUCCCCGGGCUCAACCUGGGAACUGCAUCUGAUACUGGCAGGCUAGAGUGUCGUAGAGGGGGGGAGAAUUCCAGGUGUAGCGGUGAAAUGCGUAGAGAUCUGGAGGAAUACCGGUGGCGAAGGCGGCCCCCUGGACGAAGACUGACGCUCAGGUGCGAAAGCGUGGGGAGCAAACAGGAUUAGAUACCCGAGUAGUC
rnacentral:rRNA from 1 species